AUAAAAAUAACUUACUAAUUCAAGGUUUUUUAUAGUGAAAAUCAAUGUCAAGUGUGCAACCAAAUUUUUGCAAUAUGCCUACAAAUGUCUGUGUGCAACUUUGCAUCAGCCAAGUGCAUAAUUUGUUGUGCUGCUGAUGGUACUGUUUCUUAGGCCUACGUAUCGACCGGAUAAAGCGUAAACUUUGAAUAUGUACUUAUAUUUUUAAUGCCUUAAUUUACCACAAAAAUAUAUUUUAUUACAUAUGUUAUAAAAAGAAUACAUUAGCUAAAAAAGAAAUCACAACAAAAAUGUGCACCAAGUUUGAUCGGAUUGAAUUCUCCAGACCAUAAAGUCAGUGUAUAAUUUUCAACUAUUGUUAAAAUAUUCGUGUUCAAAUAUAAUUCUCAUAUGAAAGGUGUUUAAUCUGCAAUAACAAAAUAAUUAUAGUAGCAAAAUUAAUGGUCAGUAGAUUCGAGCAAUUCAUAUUUCUCAGAUUAGCAGAAACAUCUCAUUAAGCUCACGUCGACGACAUACGUAUAUAAUGACGAUAAAAUCAACAAAGGUGCUACAAAUAAAUCAUCAAAUCACCAUGUAAAGUCAUAAAUACAGAUAUACACACUUACAUACGUGAAAACUACCCAACUCAUUGGUAAAUCAGUUUGCCAACAAAACAAAAAAAUUCUAAGUCAAUAAGUCACAAUUUAAUAUAAAAAAUGAAAAUUAUGCUUAUUAACAGGGCCAUUCGAUGUAAUAUACAUAUGCAUGCUUAUAUGUUAUUCGCCGUUAAUCAGAUGCAACGCUCAACUCUGUAAAAAAGUAACCUAACCGCAAAACAAUAAAUGCAAUAAAUCAAUUGAGCACAGUAAGACGGCUGAAUUGUUGAUUAUUGUGUUUUCAUAUGCUUAGAAAUAUAAGAACAUAUAAACAAAAAGCAAGAAAACGAUAAAAAAAGUGUCCUAAGCGAAUAGACAUAGUGCUAACGUUGCCAAAACAUUGGAUAGCUUCUAUUAAUUCAGUAUUAUUAUGCGCUCGUUACGUUAAACAUGUGUGUGUUAAAUUUUCGUUCGUUAUCAGUGAUAUAUCUAUAAUUGUCAGUGCGCACCGAUAACACUUUGCGGCUAAAAACGGCUGAAAAUUACGAUUACAUUAUAACGUUGACCAAAUAUCAGUAUUUCAACCAACAUGGACGAAGUAUUUUCAUUACAUUUAGGAAAACUCGACAUAUUUGAUGUCUUCUUCCUCGCUGGCAUUUUAUCUUUGGUUAUACUAUUUUCAAUUUGAAAACGUUAAAAGCACUAACCAAUAUGGACAAAAUAAUAAAUUUACAAUCGUAUACAAAUCGCCAACACCAAACGAAAAUGCGCAGCAAAACUUACAAUUGUGAAAUACCAGGAUGUAAACGUCAAGCCAAAGAGAAAUAGUAAAAAUAAAGAAAACGUCAAAAAAUUUACAGGGAUGCAUGCAGUGUAUUAACAGAUAUGUUCACACACUGAAGGGAGAAUAUUUGAUUUCUUAGGAAAUAAAUAUGUUAAUUUUAGUUCUUAAUGAAAAUUUGUUUUAAAUGUUUUACGCUGUUUAGACGACCAGUUAACAAAUCGUCUUAAAUUCUAAAAUGAGAUGUAAAUGCUCCUAUGGUUUCUUAUUUUGUCCUAAUUAUGUCAUUUUUAUUUAAAAAAUGAGACUGAUGAGUAGAAAAAAAAUCAGAUAAUUCAAAUGUGUUAAUACCAAAGUGUAGUUUUAUGAGUGGCCUAAGCAAAACAAACGAAAUAAAUAUGGGUUGAAUAUAAAGAAUUAUGUUGCACUUAGCUCACAUAUAUAUAAUAUAUAAAAGCAAGUAUUUAUUAAAAAAUAUUUACAAUUCAAACCAUUGUAAGUUUAAAUUUUAAAUAAACAUAAUAAGCAGAUGAUCAUAAUGCAGGAGUU